CCAAAUAAAGCACGGGCGAGGCUAUUGUUCUCCAAGUACUCAUACACCAAUAGAAGUUGAUUUCCUUCAGCACAACAUCCAUAUAGUUUGACAAGAUUUGGGUGGUGUAAACUAGAGAUCAUACCUAUCUCAUUUACAAACUCGCGGUUCCCUUGUUUUGAUUUGGAUGAAAGCUGCUUAACAGCAAUGACUGUACCAUCCAGUAGUGUACCCUGCUUAUUAAUUAAAAACAAAGAAGAAAUAAACAGGUCAUGGCUGUCUAUACAUGCAUAACAUCCACUUCUAGAUGUUGUAGCUAAACGAAAAAGGGUCAAGGUAAAUGGUUGUAGUGUGCCCUGCAGUGGAACAAUAAAAGGAACACCAGGAAUUAACAAGGUUCGACAAACUUUUGUUUUCUUUUGCCUACUCCUCGGACACAACCAACCAAUAUUUAUUUCACUCCAAAAGAGUACAAGUGAAAUACUACAAGAGAGAAAGAAGAUCAAAUGCCUUUGAAGAUGAGAAGGCAAGUGAGAUUAGGAACUACCUAUUUAUAGGAGUGAAUUCUUCCUAUUGAUGUCAUCCAUGACAUCACAAUGUGUCAAAAUGUCAAGAUUUACCUUGUGAAACCAUUUUAUGGUUCACCUAAAUUUCACCUACAAAAGAUGUUAUCUUGACUUUUGAACCAAUGAAGAAUUAUCUUCCUAACUACCAAAUCUUCACAUUAAUUCAUCUUUGAAUCUUGUCAAAUUUAACAUUUGUUGCUUUGAUGUCCCUAUGAACAAUUUUUAAUGACGAUUCCUCGUGUAGAAAAGCUAAGCCUUUUGCUAUCCCAAUGCAGAUUUUUUGCCUUGUUGGCCAGUCUAUUUGGAGACGAUGUUCUUCUGGACCUGCAUUUUAAUGAGAACUAAGAAUCUAUGCAUACCUUCUCUCAUUUUGAACUCUUUCAUGAAUUACGAACAAGCAAUAUUUCUUCUUAUUCCAUUAAGCUUAUUUUCUGUUUGACUUGUAAGUUGUAACUGAAAACAAUGAGCAAGGAUAGUAAAUUACCAAAUAAAGCACGGGCGAGGCUAUUGUUCUCCAAGUACUCAUACACCAAUAGAAGUUGAUUUCCUUCAGCACAACAUCCAUAUAGUUUGACAAGAUUUGGGUGGUGUAAACUAGAGAUCAUACCUAUCUCAUUUACAAACUCGCGGUUCCCUUGUUUUGAUUUGGAUGAAAGCUGCUUAACAGCAAUGACUGUACCAUCCAGUAGUGUACCCUGCUUAUUAAUUAAAAACAAAGAAGAAAUAAACAGGUCACGGCUGUCUAUACAUGCAAAACCUCCACUUCUAGAUGUUGUAGCUAAACGAAAAAGGGUCAAGGUAAAUGGUUGUAGUGUGCCCUGCAGUGGAUGGAGGACCUAUAAUAACAUCAAUUGAACCCAUCGUUUUUAUUUGUACUGUAGUAAUAUGUGAAAAAACAUUAAAAUUAUACUCCAUCCGUUUCAAUUUGUUUGUCUUACUUUCCUUUUUGGUCAGUUUCAAAAGAAUAUCUUCCCUUUUUGGCAACUCUUUAAAAUCUUGGAUUUUCCUCUGCUUGCAUGUGUAUGUAAAUGACUGCAUGGGAUGAGGCAUUGGUAUGUGGAGA
rnacentral:lncRNA from 1 species